rnacentral:rRNA from 1 species
AGUGAACGCUGGCGGUAGGCCUAACACAUGCAAGUCGAACGGCGGCACAGUAAGAGCUUGCUCUUACGGGUGGCGAGUGGCGGACGGGUGAGGAAUACAUCGGAAUCUACUUUUUCGUGGGGGAUAACGUAGGGAAACUUACGCUAAUACCGCAUACGACCUACGGGUGAAAGCAGGGGAUCUUCGGACCUUGCGCGAUUGAAUGAGCCGAUGUCGGAUUAGCUAGUUGGCGGGUAAAGGCCCACCAAGGCGACGAUCCGUAGCUGGUCUGAGAGGAUGAUCAGCCACACUGGAACUGAGACACGGUCCAGACUCCUACGGGAGGCAGCAGUGGGGAAUAUUGGACAAUGGGCGCAAGCCUGAUCCAGCCAUACCGCGUGGGUGAAGAAGGCCUUCGGGUUGUAAAGCCCUUUUGUUGGGAAAGAAAAGCAGCAGGUUAAUACCCCGCUGUUCUGACGGUACCCAAAGAAUAAGCACCGGCUAACUUCGUG